UCAGAAUCUAAACGCCAAAAGGAAACGAGCGUUUAUCAAGACAUCACAAUGGACACAGUUCAACAGACAACUGGUUCAGACACUACAAUGAUGCCAAAUGAAUCGACCAACACAUACGACAGUUUACAAUCCCAUGAUGCAACGCCUUAUGAAAAACUGAAUGCAUACGAGAAUCUGCCUCAGUCAGAAGAAAUGUUCGAGAACACGACCAAGUAAAGGACGUAUGCACAUUUACAACACAAAUAAGCGGCGUGGGGUUACGUAGAAACAUCAACAUUGGAGGAAUCUGUGAAGUAUGGUGUGACCUCAACAAAACGGGAACGCUUGUGGUAGUGAAGUUGAUCAAUGACAAACGUGUUUGUGUUGGAUCUGGUCGGGACUAUGCACCUACAUAACUAUUCCUGACUUUAUUCCUUCUUUUCCUGUUAGUACGCAAUACGUUAACUCGUCAUGUUGAUAAGGAAUAUGAACCUUGAAAACUCGAAAGUAUUAUUUUUGUCACCAUGCAUUAUAGUUUUAUUUAUUUUCUUUACUCCUUCAGUAUGUAUAUAUAUAUAUAUAGGAAAUAUAUAUAUAUAUAUAUAUA